CUCGGUGGAGCAGACCCCGCGCAAGAGGCUGCGGUGAGCGAAUUUAGAGCCCAAAGAGCCCCGAGGGAACCUGCCGGGGCAGCGGACGUUGGAAGGGCGCUGGGCCUCGGCUGGGACCGUUCAUGUAGCAGCAACCGGCGGCGGCUGCCGCAGAGCAGCGUUCGGUUUUGUGUUUAAAUUUUGAAAACUGUGCAAUGUAUUAAUAACGUCUUUUUAUAUCUAAAUGUAUUCUGCACGAGAAGGUACACUGGUCCCAAGGUGUAAAGCUUUAAGAGUCAUUUAUAUAAAAUGUUUAAUCUCUGCUGAAACUCAGUGCAAAAAAAAAGAAAAAAGAAAAAAAAAAAGGAAAAAAUAAAAAAACCAUGUAUAUUUGUACAAAAAGUUUUUAAAGUUAUACUAACUUAUAUUUUCUAUUUAUGUCCAGGCGUGGACCGCUCUGCCACGCACUAGCUUGGUUAUUGGUUAUGCCAAAGGCACCAUCCAUCUCCCACAUCCGGUUAUUGACAAGUGUAACUUUAUUUUCAUCGCGGACUCUGGGGAAAGGGGUCACUCACAAGCUGUAGCUGCCAUACAUGCCCAUCUAGCUUGCAGUCUCUUCGCGCUUUCGCUCGCUCUCUUAUUAUUACUGUGUUUAUCUUAAACUUGAAGACAAAUCUGUUAAAAUGGUUCCUGAGCCGUCUGUACCACUGCCCCGGCCCCUCGUCCGCCGGGUUCUAAAUAAAGAGGCCGAAAAAUGCUGCAA